rnacentral:rRNA from 1 species
UACGUAGGGUGCAAGCGUUGUCCGGAAUUAUUGGGCGUAAAGGGCUCGUAGGCGGUCCAUCACGUCGGGAGUGAAAAGCUGGGGCUUAACCCCAGCCUGCUUCCGACUACGGGUGGACUAGAGGUAGGCAGGGGAGAACGGAAUUCCGUGGUGUAGCGGUGAAAUGACGCAGAUAUCAGGAGGAACACCGGUGGCGAAGGCGGGUCUCUGGGCCGAUACUGACGCUGAGAAGCGAAAGCCGUGGG